GAUGAAGAACGCAGCGAAAUGCGAUAAGUAAUGUGAAUUGCAGAAUUCAGUGAAUCAUCGAAUCUUUGAACGCACAUUGCGCCCCCUGGUAUUCCGGGGGGCAUGCCUGUUCGAGCGUCAUUUCACCACUCAAGCCUCGCUUGGUAUUGGGCAACGCGGUCCGCCGCGUGCCUCAAAUCGUCCGGCUGGGUCUUCUGUCCCCUAAGCGUUGUGGAAACUAUUCGCUAAAGGGUGUUCGGGAGGCUACGCCGUAAAACAGCCCCAUUUCUAAGGUUGACCUCGGAUCAGGUAGGGAUACCCGCUGAACUUAAGCAUAUCAAUAAGCGGAGGA
rnacentral:misc_RNA from 1 species